rnacentral:tRNA from 1 species
GGAUUGUGGCUCAGUGGUAGAGUGCUCUCCUAGCAUGCAUGAGGCAUUGGGUUUGAUCCUCAGCACCA